GGAGUCGGCCAGGCAGUCGCGUCACCCCUUGUUCGCAGGGUGGUGCCGAGGAAAGUCCGGGCUCCACAGGGCACGGUGCCAGGUAACGCCUGGGCGGCGCGAGCCGACGGAAAGUGCAACAGAGAGCAGACCGCCGAACGGCGUCGCAAGACGUGCGUGGCAAGGGUGAAACGGUGCGGUAAGAGCGCACCGCGAGUCUGGCAACAGACCGGCACGGCAAACCCCACCGGGAGCAAGACCAAAUAGGGAGACAAUGCCGCGGCCCGCGGUGUCUCCGGGUAGGUUGCUUGAGCGUAUCGGCGACGAUGCGCCUAGAGGAAUGACUGUCCACGACAGAACCCGGCUUACAGGCCGGCUCCGCCC
rnacentral:RNase_P_RNA from 1 species